rnacentral:tRNA from 1 species
GGGAGUGGUGGUUUAGCGGAAAAAUAGCAGAAUGCAAAUCUGCAGACACAGGUUCGAAUCCUGUCCACUCACA